GCGAUGAGCCCCGGGUCUCUCCCGGCUCCCCAGACAAGCCUUUCAGGCCGGGACAAGACGCGGCGGGAUGGAAGAUGGCACUGGGAGGGAAAGGUCAGGCGGCUGAGCCUCCCGCGGCUGGGAGCAGGUGGCUGCUCCGGCCAGACGGCCAAGCGACGCAGGUGGGCGGCCCGGACCUGCGGAUCACUUGGGCCCAGGCUGCUGGCAGAGCUGGGACACCUGGCCCGGCCAGCUCCCUACAGUCACCAGGCCAACUUAUACCGCCUGUUAAAGGUGCAGCCGUCCAAGUAUUUGGGCAGUCGUCCGCUGCUUUCCCAGGCUCACUGGCAGGGAGAAGGCUCAGAAGCAGAGCGCUGGGACCGAAACCAACACUCGGAUGUGGGAUGCAGCAUUGCAGCCGGCGGCUGGGCCCCUGGCACCAGCACACGGACCCCAGUCCUGUGUUCCCGAGCAUGAAGCUGUCAGGGUGGCUCUGACUCCCGUGCUACGUGGAGGAAGGGCUCUGUCCCUCUCCCGGGUACUCCUCGGGCCUCACGACCGUCAGCACAGCCCAGGCUGGGGAGCAGACCGUGGGGCGCCAGCCGGCUUGGAGAGCCUUUGGCAGCCCUAAGCCAGCAGGCAGAACCCGCCACAGCUGGAAGUGGGCUUUGUGUUCACAGGGAUGGUGCUUCGGGGAAGGAGCCGAGACACAGCCUCCGGGCCCGCCAUGCUGGUCAUUCCUGGGGCCUGCAGGCUGCAGCCGGGGCUCAGCAGAACCCCAAGGGACACUUACCCACGGGCUCCACCGCAGAGGCACAGAGCCAGCGGCCAGCACUUAAAGAACAGCCGUAUCCAUGCAAGGCCCCCGGGGGACGGGCAGCGUUUAAAACAUGAACAGAUACAAACUGAACGGGCGAGGGGCUGGAGGCCGGGUGGGCACGGCUUGGCACCCACCACCCCUGACAGGCACAUUCUCUCCGAGGCCUUUGCAAGGCUGCUGGCGGCACCCGGCGCUCCGGUUUGAUGUCUGACCUUGUUUGGGGUUUCAAGGCGUCCAAGUAACUUGUCUCAGCACUUACAAGCGCGCCUGAGCCAAGAGUCUCCAACUCUGGGCCGCGAGCCACAGGCGGAGGAAUGGAGGCCACGGGCGUGGCAGGAGCCUGAUCUGCAACCAGGCCCCAGGGAGUGAACGCCCUGGGGACCUCAGUCAGCUCCAGGGACACAAAGACACAAGGCGCUUCAGCAGUUUGGGGACAUGGAAUGGAAAGAUAAGUUUAUUUUGGUGCAAACCACCUUGAAAUCUGUGCACAGUGCUUCCAUAAUGUGCAUGUUCCACGAACUUUUUGAAGACCAUCCCCUCCCCCCCAGUAAAUACUGAGCUGUCCCCAGCAGAGGGGCAGGCAGGACA